AUUCCUAAAAUGUGCAGUACUUAACAAUUGGGUAGAUAGCAAAGAUUCCUGUAAGAAUCAGUGUAAUAGUGGGGUGAUGUGUGCAGCGCCUUGAGAAACACUGUUUGAAUACACAGGAAUGUAUUUUGCAUUGUGACCUCUAUCCUAUUAAUGCUUCCAGAGAAGAGUUCUCAAAAUGCAAGACAAAAACCGGAGAGAUGGUUUCUUGUGUUUUGUGGCUUAACUUUUUGGGACACUCUUGACUUUAGCAGGCCUGGAAGGAAAGCUAGAAAAGGGAACUGAUUCCCCAUUAGCAUUGAUGAAAGCUUUGCAGGACAGAGCACCAAGAACUGCAUCGCUUUGUGCAUGUGUGAGCAGAUCCAGUAGAUCUUCACUUGCCUUCAUUGGUAAAACAGCGAUUUCCACCAAACCAAUGGAACUAGCAAGGAUUUAAAGGACUCAAAGAAGUAAAACAUCCCCCAUGCUCCCAGAAUUCUGCUGUUGACCCCCUCUGCCCUUGGGCUUAGCACGGCAGAGGAACAGGACCUGCCAAAUGGUUGCAUACAUGGGGCUGACUUAGUGAGAUGGUGCAGCUUCUUUCAUUCUUCUGGAUUUGUCCCUCUAAACAGCCACAUGAAGAGUUAUUGCACAGCUUUGUACAUUUGCAUGAUGUAAAACUUUCUUCAUGACAGAAAUAAUUACCCUAACCACUGCACAAAUGGUUUGUUUCAGGCUUGCAGCUGUGGCUCAUUGGCAGCUGGCAGAGCUCUCAUCAGUGAUUUGAGCACUGGAAUACCUUCCCUGCAUGUCCUUCUAUUGCAAAGCCAGGAGCAAGAACACUGAGAUGAACCGUUUGUUCAUGAAAGCUGCCAGCAGAGGAUGUGGCUGAUGAACUGUGAGGGCUGGGAAGAGAUGUCUCCAGGGAGCAGGGCCUGGGCAGUGCUAUGUCCUUUCUGCACAGGAGAAGGUCCAGACGAGUCGACUCUCAGUGAGACCCAUUACAUCCAGCACCCCUGAUCAAACCAAAGCCCAUAGCUCUGCAUUGCUUUUGCUAAUACUAUAAUCAUCCAUUGCAGGCUUUUCUUACAUAACUAGCAAGUCUAUGUUGACUACAGGCUUUGCAGCUUGAAUUCACUCAUGCUUCCUAUUUUUUUAGCUUCUGUUGGAGUUUCACAGCUCACCUAACCUGCAAGGGCCACGAACAAAGUACGUGAAUAUGCACCACUUGCUGGCAGAACAAACAAUCCUCUCAGACAACAGGAUUGUUAUUAAAACGGGUUGUUUUGUUGGCAGAAUAGGCUUUCCCUGUUGCCAGGGGUUGCCCAAGGUGAGCCUGACCUCUGUGGUCUCUGAAGCUCUCUCUUGUGGGUGAGCUGAGCAAUGCUGGAAUGCAGCAUUUAAGAUGGAUUAACUGCGAAGUUAACACAGGAAACAGUUCAGAGAGAGUAAAAGUAUUACACUGCAGAACUAAGGAUGAAACAUAACUUUUGAUCCCAUAGGACACAAGUUCCAAGGCUGAGAACAUGAUUAUUUGAUAAGAGUCACAGUCAUCUUGUCAGUGCAAGUAAUGUUUGCAGCCUCCUCUUAAGGCAGAAUUCUGCCUUUCCAGGUGCAAGGAAGGGCAGUGGAGAGGCAGGUAUGUGGCCAGUGGAAGAGAUGUGUCUGCAUUCUCCCACUGUGAGGGGAGUAACAAAACCAUGGACCCUACCUCACCCUUUCCACCCAGAGCAGGUCCCCACAUGCCAGGUCUGUCGCCUUUGAACUCUUAAGAGUCUUGAUGCAGUUUCACGUGCAUCGUAGCACAAAACCUGCACUUUGGUACCAACUUCAGCUGAAACCAUUUGCACAGACCGGUCCUAAGAAACACCAGUCAUCCACCCAAGUGAAAUUCUGAAUUGCUGGCCGCACCCUGGCAACAUAAUGUAUUCAUACAGCCUAAGGAUCAACAUGAAUUGGGGUUUCUGGAAAAGGAUAUAUCUGUUCCUUGCUCAGCUCACUAGCUCUCUAGCCACUAUCUGCAAAUCUCUUUGAUACUCUGUAAAAUGGCAGAUUACUACCCUUUAACUCUUUCACCAGGGCUGCAGGGCCAAACUGCUAGAGAUUCACCUGAGCUAUAUGGAGUUUUCUGUUUGAUUGAGGUAAGUGGUUUGUUUGGUUUCGGGGCUUUUUGAUGUUAGUAUUGCACCUUAAAUAUUCCACUUUAAAACUGUGCUAUGGCAGGUGUUGGCUCUCUGUUACACUGCAGCUAAAAAACCAGUUUCUACCACAGAUGUUACAGGCAAAUCAGUUUGAAGAUUUUUGUUUCCUGAGCUAAACUACCAUUUAUUAGCUAGAGUUAUUACUAGAAGGCACAGCACAGUGCAUGACACUGUGCUGGGCUGCACAAAUAUGUAUUAAGCCCUGGACUACCAUGAAGAAUGUACAGAGUAGGAUUACAAGCAUGACUUAGUUAUGAACUACAGACACUUAAAAAUGAAGAAACACUUUUGCAGUCUGAUUCUUGCCUACCAUUACAGGAUUCAAAUCUAAAAUGCAACAGAUUCUAGGUGUCUAAGUCCAAAUGAAGAACCAAAACCUCUGAGUUUGGUGCCAAUGAGGCCUCCAUGUUAUGGAGUGAUUGUGAAUACAUUUAUUUGACUAGUACAGACAAAGCCUUAUAUAAUUGAGGAAAACAGAGCUCUACCCUCAAACAUCCUUGAUCCUUAUCCUGCCCCCUUCAACUUAAUUUGAUAAUCAGCACUUACAUCACAGAGAGUUUGGAAAUAUUAUCCAUGCCUCUCCUUCAGCAUUACACUAUGUUAAACGAGUCCCUGCCUGUAAAGAUCUGCUUUCUUCAGAACUUUCACCCAGCCCCAUGAUUAGCUUGGCUUAUGUCAGCAAACACUCAGCAAAACUGGAACUUGGAAACAGCUUAAGCUCAGCCUCUUUCUGCCUUCAGAUCCAUUGGUUUUACAGUCUUCAAGCAUCAUCAUUCAGCAUCCAGCUGGCAUCCAUUUGACUACAGUUGCUGCAGGAGGAGUGGGAACCAACCACCAUUGUUGCUGAGUUUUAUCCUGUAAAUUCAGCCAAAAGAAACUGGUGCACGCCAUCUCGUGGCCCUGCACAGCUACUUCCCAGGAACGAAUUGAGCUCCAACUGUGACAGGGAGGUUUAAUGUGAACAGGAUUUAAAAGAUGGCUGUCAGCGGCUCAGAAAGAGCCCACUAUAUGACCAUAGCUAUGAAACUUCCACCAUUAGCACUUUGUCCACACUCCUGCCAUGACCUUGCAGCCUGAGCAGCUGUUCCCCGGAGCAGCAGCAGAGCAUCAAGCUGCAAAAGGCACCUCUUCCACAUGUGCUCACACACUGUUGAGACAGCCCUUCCCUCACAACAAAUACAGUGAACAGCACAGCCCCAGAGCAGCCUUUGGUGGAGCAGGAAAUUACCUUAUGCAUUUCAGAGUAGGUCAUACACUUUAAUCAUUCUUGAUUACAUGCAAGGUUGGGGAUGUUCAUGGUACAUCUGUCUUCAUCUGCUCUCAGUACUUGUUAAAGAACUCUGUCAAUGCUUUAAAUAAAGCUAAUGUGUCUCUUCGUAACUGUUCAUUAACAGCUGGAUACAUGAACUCAUGGAAACAUCAGCUGUCAGUCCCUUGAUGUAUCUUAAGUUCCUAGUCCUUCUUACUCCCUUUUUUUUUUUUUUUUUUGAGAAAAACAAGUCAUUAAGAGACCCUUGCCAGAAGUGAUUAAGGUAUGAUUUCAUCUAGUUGAGGGAAUUAAAAAACCAGGGACAGAGUUCAAUUGUGUGAAUUUAAGGUCUUUGCUUCUAUUUUAAGUAGUAAGUUUCUGACUUAACAAUGUUUAUGACUUUUCAGAUGGGAGAUUACAUCUUAAAUCUGCACCAUUAAAUCAUCGCCAAAUUUGAAGUCACAUUACCUUUAGCAGAAUUGCUGAUGGCAACACUUAAACACUGUCUCACUUCCACUGCUCUCACAGCUAUCAAAAGGCUGGAUAUAUAGUCAGCAACAACGGGACUUAAAAUAGCUACAGAGGGGGCAAAACUUCAGACUAAGCAUCUUAUUUUGCCUGCUACUGGAGACAACUGCACAAGACCUAUGAAAGUUUGCAGCUUGCUGUUGGAAAGCACAGAAUCAUACCAGAUAACUUCAGAUGUUACUCCAGAGGACACUGUGCCAUACUGUAAGAACAAAACCAACUACCCAAGGAUUAUAGUUCAAAGCAUCUGAUUACAACCAGCAAUUGUUCUAAAUAUGCUGUGUGAUGAAAAUUCUAUUUUUACUGUUCUUGGGUUGGAAGUGUGUAACCAUGUUGCAGAAAGACUGUUAGACCUGUGAGGCUCAGUGAAGCCUGAUACUAAAACAGUUGCUCUGUAUAAAGGAAAGAAAAGAGGGAACAUCCUUCUUCUCAUGUUGAGGUUUAAUUCUAAGGUAUGUGACACUGGAUUUACAAAGGUAAAUAAAAAUACAUUCUGAGAAAUAGCGAGUGCCCUAUUUAGCAAGGCAGAAGAAUUUCACACUUCAAGCAGCUGAGAAACUAAACUGCUCACAGUAUGAAAAAAUAUUUAGGGUCUGUCUUUGACACAUGAUUUUGCCAUAACAGGUGAUGAGGAAUGUGCAGUAGUGGGGCAGAAGAAAGACAAAUACUUAAGUGAUAAAGAUGAGACAGGACAACAGGUAUUAGAUAAGGCUUCCACUUGAAUUAAUUGAGACAUUAUUACUAUGAUCAGCAGUCAGAUGGAACUACUAUUCCAAACACUGAUCAGGCAAACUACAUUGCCAAAUUGAAUUACACAGCUGUUGAGACAGGCUUUAGCUCCAGCCUGAUGAUGAUAUGGCUAAGUUUGCAUAUGCUUGUAGCAAACACAUAUAAAUGAAAUCCCAGUAAUAUAAAAGGACUGGAGUGGUACAGAAAGUUUUCCACAUUAACUGUACCCAAUACCAGGAGCAAAGGCUACCACCUGGAGUACAGUGCACACAACAGUUUAUACAAGAGUAUCAUCUACAGUUAUUCUACAACUUUAAUCCUAAAUUUCAAUUUAAAAAGCCAAGUAUGAAUCACAUGCAGGCAGAUUUCAUGACUCAUUGCUGCAAUGGAUUUAACCACAAGUGCUGAUCCUGCCUGCCAUUAAGAUGUCUGGCAUUCCAUCUUGGACCCAUUCCUCUGGAGGGGAGCUCUUUCACAGAUCUGUGCUACAGAGAGCUGAGCUAAAAACAGUUAAAUGAGACUUCAGGAAUUUAAAAAAAAAUCUGAUAUUUUGUCACACAAGAAUAAAAUUCCAGGAAUUUAUUGCUGUAUGUAUGCUUAAUCCAUUAAUUCAUCUUACAGUAGUCAUGAAGUGCCUUCUGUGUGCUACAUUUAACAUUCCAUGUAUUCCCUUCCAAAUGCCAUUUUACAGUGGGCAUAUGAAACAACGCAGCAGCAGUCACAAAACAUGGCUUAAGCAUCUCUCAGGUGCUUAAAGACAAAAAUUUGUGUACAAGCUGAAUAACGAGAUGUCAGUUAACAGGUCACUCAGCAACUUUAAUAGAAAUAUCUUUAGGUGGAAGUUUUGCAGCGUUAAAAUUUACAACUCAGACUAAACAUUCUCAUCCCACUGUAGUAACAAGAUAUUUGCAAAGAACAAGAACUAUGGUACGUAAAUGUCACACGCAAGACCCGCUUCAUUUCUAUCAGAAGCAAAAAUUGCUAAUUAUAAGGAAGGACAAGCCUAGCAGGAUAAGGCUGUCAGCCUAUAAUAAAAACAUAAACCUCCGAGUUUGGCAGUGGAAUUCUAUUUACCACCCUGACUUUUUUUUUUUUUGGUAACAUACAAGUACUCUUCCUCCCCUCCCACACUUUAUAAAUCCCCUUUUAUUUUUAUUAUACCUCCAUAUUAUUUACAGGACUCCUAAAGAUUAAGUACAAACUAGUAUGAAAUUAAUGACAGCUUGCUUUUCAAAUAUGUAUCCCAUGGCUAAAUAAAUACCAAGCCAAUCCAACAGAGUGAUCUGGAGUUACGAUUCAGAAGCUUGUGUAUCUGUGACUCCAGUUGUUUUCUCAUUAGCUGUGGAGGAUUCAUUUGAUCUGUCAACAAUAGUUGCCACAGAAGUUGGAGCAGCGCUAUCCAAGGUGAGCGUAGAGGUCUGUUCUACAUUUACAGUAGUG